CCUAUGUCAAGUUUAUUUCUAUUGCGUUUCGUGAAAACUGAAAAAAUAUCAGAGCAUUCUCACAUUACCUAUAAUCACCCAAAAAAUUAGCCAAUCAAAUUGAAAUCCUAGUUGAAUCACGCCCCCCUACGUGUUGCUAUUGUAUUAUGCUAAACAUUUUUUAAUCCUCCAUAAUUGAGUUAUUCAAACAAGAUUUUCAUUUUCAAGGCUGCUAUAGUGCAGAAUUUAUAUACAUUUAUUCCCAUUUUUCACGUUUGAAAAUAACGGCGCGCCAGUAUUUACAAUCAUUAAGGGAGCCACCAUCAACGUCAAAAUUGUGCUGUUUGAAAACUGUGUUUAAAUUAUAUUAUCGAAGAAUACCUGAAGUCUAUUCACGGUUACUUCUACUAUACAUAUAAUUAGCCUUUUUCCUUUGCAUAGGUAAAACAAAAUGUGUAGUAGCAAAAUAGCCGCGAUUGAUGUUGCAUUCUAUAUCAGUAAAGGUUUCAGAUAUUGUUCUACCUCAAUAGACCCCUUCAUAUGGUUCGAGUGGUCUAUUUUUCUUGAUCGUUAUCUUUUCAAGUUGGAAGAGUUUGCGUUGAAGUUAGAGCCAACUGACUAAAUAUUUUUUCUCCUAGAGAAGGUUUUUUUCAUAGAGCGUAAUAUCGAUCUUAUUGAUCGUAAACUGACGACAGCAGCUUCAUUCACAUUCUCCGUGUUUGAAGGAGAACUCCCCAACAGCGUUUAGAGGCAUCAAAGCGGUCACCAGCAUCCUCUGCGCUGAUACAUGAUCAAUGUGAAAAUUGUAUUGCAUGUUCGGUCGGUGGAAUAAAAAAGAAACUGCAUUUGAACAGUGUUCGAGUUUGCACAUAUAUAGCAAGCCGGGAUACGUCAACAAUAAUAAUGCACACCUUAAAACGGAAAAACCAACAAUACGGAGUGGUUCAUUCAUGCUGCGGACGACAACCCUAAGAGAAAGGGGGGAAGGCCGCAGCCGCUGGCCUAACACAAUGCGCAUUCGUCAAUAGAUAACCAAGUUCUGAGUUGGCCAGCCCGACAGAUGUGCGACCUCGACCUGCCGUUGUGAACGCUAAACAAAGAUGCAUCCGGCCCCUUGCGCUGUAUAAUAAGAUAUAGGUCUCGCUCCAGGUAGGUUAUACUCAAUGCCACACUGUAACUACAAAUUUGUACUUUAUAACUUAACUAAAGAGUUAAUAUCACUUACUCAAAGAGCGUUCAACACAGGCACGGGAUGAAGCCCACGGGACGACAAACUUUGUGUCUAUUUGUUUAUACGACCCAAAUCGACCUCUUAGAGUGGUCAGAUUAACGUCACUUGUCUUGCGUCGCUAGUGUGCAGAAGAGCUGCACAUAGGAUGGUCUCUACUAGACGACUAUUUUUUCCAGAAGGGACUUUUUGCAUGCGAUAGAGCGCGAUAUCCAUUUGGAUAAAUUGUUUGAUUAGCUAGAUAAUCGCUAAGUAUUUCUUAAAGCUUUAUCUUGGAAAAUUUUUUCGACCUUUGUAGAGUAGAUGCAGCGUUGAACAUAAGAAAAAAUGUUCUAUUUUUUCACAUGUAUGCGCUUUAGUCGUAAACUGAUGAUUUUUUUCGAAUCGGUUCGUAAUUAAUGAAAUAGAUCGACGUAACACUUUAUGAUAGUUUCCUCAGUCCUAUAUAGACUAUAUAAAAUAUAUUUAGACGUCAUUGUUUUAUUCGAAAAAAUAGUUGAUACGACAGAAACUCAGCCCAGUCGGUGGAUCCGAGCGCCUGCUUUCCGCCGCUUGACGUGAUCAAUACAAAUAAUUCUACGCGUCAAAAACCGUGCCAUCUCGUGCCAACAGAUAGAAGCAAACAACGCUUUUUUGAAGGUAUUGUGUGUAUGAGAGGAAGGCGCAUCUAGGGCAAAUGACUAAUCAUGAUAAAAAUGAUUUACUGAACUAUAGAAGGUGCUUUUUUGGGAUCCAUUGUACAAGCGCUUCAAGCAGCUAAAAAGUGCUAGUUACAUUUAAACGUAUCAUUCGACACGAGAGCGGGUCGGCUAAAACAACCGACACCGAAUAAGCGAAAGGACAAGCGUACACAACUCGCGGCGAGUGACAGUUGAAACACCGUUAGAAUAUAAAAGAAAGGCGAACA